rnacentral:rRNA from 1 species
UGCUAUCGGAUUGAUACUAAGCCAUGCGAGUCAUUGUAGUAAUACAAGGCAGACGGCUCAGUAACGCGUAGUCAACCUAACCUAUGGACGGGAAUAACCUCGGGAAACUGAGUAUAAUGCCCGAUAGAACAUUAUGCCUGGAAUGGUUUAUGUUCCAAAUGAUUUAUCGCCGUAGGAUGGGACUGCGGCCUAUCAGUUUGUUGGUGAGGUAAUGGCCCACCAAGACUAUUACAGGUACGGGCUCUGAGAGGAGUGGCCCGGAGAUGGGUACUGAGACACGGACCCAGGCCCUAUGGGGCGCAGCAGGCGAGAAAACUUUGCAAUGUGCGAAAGCACGACAAGGUUAAUCCGAGUGGUUUCUGCUAAAGGAACCUUUUGUCAGUCCUAGAAACACCGAUGAAUAAGGGGUGGGCAAGUUCUGGUGUCAGCCGCCGCGGUAAAACCAGCACCUCAAGUGGUCAGGAUGAUUAUUGGGCCUAAAGCAUCCGUAGCCGGCUUUGUUAGUUUUCGGUUAAAUCUGUACGCUUAACGUACAGGCUGCCGGGAAUACUGCAGAGCUAGGGAGUGGGAGAGGUAGACGGUACUCGGUAGGAAGGGGUAAAAAUCCUUUGAUCUAUUGAUGACCACCUGUGGCGAAGGCGG